rnacentral:rRNA from 1 species
GGCUGUAAUUGCCUUCUUAUUAACUCGGAUAACUUGGAGGUCAUUGAAACCAUGAAUAAUGGAGGUCGAACGGCGACGACAUUGUUUGACGAUUGUUAUUUUUUGGCUUGUGGUUUUCUCAUUACUAGAUUUGAGCACUAUAAAAGGGAAGAAAAUAAGGUUGCCCAUGAACUUGCUAAGUUAGCUAGAUUUUCUUCUACUUUUGACUGGUUUGAGAAGACGUUGGGUGAAAUUGUACCCCUCCUCAUAAAUGAUGUACUUGUUAUUGCAAAUGAAUAA